AAUUUACGUGAUAAUCUUUUUAUAAGAAUUUUUCACAUUUUUCAUCGGAACGAGAUAAAAGUCGAAUUGCAAAUGAAAAAGUUUUAAUAAAAAUAGAAAUUCUUUGAAAGUUCAUGCUCAAACUUGGUACGUCAUCACAUUCCGAGAUUAUUUUGACUGUGGAACGAGGAAAGGUAAUUCAAUGAUGUUGUGUGACGUUUAUGAAUCACGCGUUGUACAUAACAUUCCAAGCUAGGCUGAACGGAAGUCGCCAAGAGGCUGUAACGUGUGAUCAAUUAUUAAUGAGUCUUGAGCUCGAUGCACAUUCUACGAUCUUUUACGUCGGCCACAUCGUGUCCGAAGUAUUUCGCCGCGUUAGCGCCACUAGGAAUACUGUAACCACUUCUAAAGGCACGAUAACGGUGUUCGAAGUCGUAGCUUGUGGUGGAUAGGUACGAUGAUUUUUAUUACUUAACGAUGAGCGCGCAAAGAGACGAAGAGAAAUUCGUCGUCUUCAGGGUCUUUAACGAUUUACGAGCUUUCUGCAAACUAAUACACUCUCGAUCAACAACGAGCGACUACGUUGGCUGGCACGCUCAGGAACGCUUAAAUAUUCAGUCAUUGAAGCGAAACAGCGGGAAUUUCCAAAAAUAUGUAGUGAAAGAAAAAAAAGAUUACAAGAAGUGAAAAGAAGAUGAAGUGGAUAAGGAGUAGAAGAAAUGGAAGGAUGGAGAGACAGGAGGACGAUGGGUCAUCAGUGGAAGAUUAAGAAGAGGAGCAAGGACCUCCAGUAGAACCGGUCAUCCUCGUUCGUCCGCGUAAACUCAUCUUCCAACUCAAAGAGAGAUCGCAAGGAACGAUUACUCGCGCCACGGAUCAUUCCGUUGGAUCUUGAGAUCUUCUCGACUCUUGGGAUCUUCUCUUCUCGACUCUCCGCCAACUUGACGACCCCCUUCCUUCUCUUCUUUUAAAAUCGAUUUUCUUCCUCGUUUUUCCGAUAGUUUCAUUUGUUUCUCUUAAUGUCUUAGACUUUUUUUCUACAUUAUUUUCGUUAUCAAUGAAAUAUAUUUAUUAUAAAUAUUGAUAUUUAAAAUCGAUUUUUUCGUGAAGUAAGUUUCGUACGUAAAAGAAUUUUUUUUUGUCUUUUUUUUUUCUAUAAAAAUUUAUUCCAUUUUGUUAAGAAUAAUUUUUUUUUUUUGAAUGUGUUUCACGAUAAUUAACUAAUAAUAUUAAUGUUAUAACUAUGUUUAGAUAGGAGAAGUUCCUCGUUAAGAACGAAUCGAAAGAAAGUCGAGUUAAACGGAUAUAUUCAGGGUCGCAAUAGAGAAGCAUAACGUUGAUCAUCUGACGUGUGGGUGUUACGGCGCGAGACGAGAGGACGGAGAUCGCGAUCAAGGUUCAUCGAUCUAUCGCCGUGAGGUCGGCUCCUCGGUGCAUAGCUGCACCUUGAGUGCAUCCACCUGGUGAACGCCCACACCGCCCACUACAAAAGCGCGCAUAACGUGCGGAUCGUUCUCUUGUGAGCAAGACCGAGGCACCUUCUUUCCGAGCAUACAUCGACCUGUCGGCCAUAAUUCACGCUUUUCCGCCAUUACGUUUAAACAGAAAAAAGGGCUGGCCAAAACUGAUCACUAUGUCGACUCUGCACAAAGGCCAGUCUUCCGUGAACAGCCGGGAGUCUGUCGUCGACCAGAACCUCGACCCAAGCUCCACACCACCAUAGACGAAAUCUAAAGACACCGGCAUAUUCUGCGCUCGGUGAUCCUGGUGGUUCACCAUUAUUCCCAAAAUCUUGAUCGGCUGGUACCACCCUGUAGAAGAGUCCUUUACUCAAGUGAAGAACACCCAGGCAUGAAACCAACCAUUUGUCACCUGAAAAAAAGAAGGAAUAUGUCCUUCAAUCGAAAAGAACUUAAACGUCAUGAGAUAGUUAAAGAGAGGAAGAAAAAGAAUACUUUUUAUGAAUAAAAAAAAAA